GUGGGGAUGGUUUCACCGAUGAAGUUCUCCUUGAUUGUUUUCCCUCGAUGUUAGAGUCUUAAGGAUGUUGAUAAAACCUUAGUGAAAUGUUACAAUGUUUUUCUUGAAUCAAGCAAUAUACUCACGGUUAUGUGUCUCCAUACAUAUAAUUGGUUCGCCUUUUGCUGCGAUACUCUGCAUUUUAUGCUUCCUGAUGAAAAAUGAGCUAUACCCGUUUUAUUUUUGUUCGGGAAAUUCCUGAUAAUUAGAAAGUUAUGACGAUGUUGACGAUUUUACCCUUGGGUUCAUGUGUGAUGAUUUUCUUAACACCUUUGAUGCGAGCUUCCGCUUGAUGGUUGACUUAUACGUCUUAUCUUCUAUUCUUUUAAAAAUAGUCGUAUCGAUACUCGUACCCCGCUAUUACUAGCAUUGGGAAACGGGCUGCGACAGUACCUCUUUAUCAUGGAACACACACUCAUGAGAAAAUGUUUCAGAUCUGUUGUUGAACUUGAAGAUGUCAUAACUUCUUAUCAAGCGCAAUUGCAAUGCGAUCUUGCUCUUUCCCGGUUCCAAUUCCUUGAUGACGCCGAACAAAGGAGCCAUUUCAACGUAAAAUGAAAAAAUGAGAAUGAUUUUUGUGGAGAUCGAUUUUUUGGCUAUGGAAUUCGUAUUGUGAUAGGUAGAAUUCGUAUUGUGAUAGUUUGUGAGGUUAUAUUUAUAGAUGGUGGAAAUUAUUUAUUUUGUUUUAAAAAAUUAUGGAGUAACUGCUGCGAAUUUAUUUCUAUGCACCGAAAAUUUGGAAGUCGACUAAAGCAUGACCUCCCUACGAUUUUUCUCCUCGCAAAACCUAAACCUAACUGCUGAUUCGCCGCCGUCUUUCUGGUCUCCGGCGAUGCUGCUUCGCCAAGCGUCUCUCUAGCUGAUAGGGGGGCUUAACCUCCCGCCGGUGUCGAAUAAUUUCCAACCCCAGCAAGUUGCUACUGCUCGAGCCUCUC
rnacentral:lncRNA from 1 species